rnacentral:tRNA from 1 species
CACCCGAUGACUGAAAGUAAGUGUAAGCCUUUUAAGCUUAAUAUAGUAUAACGCCUACUUCUGGUGA